rnacentral:rRNA from 1 species
AAUAACUGGGUGUAAAGAGCGCGUAGGCGGAUUUGUAAGUCAGGUGUGAAAUUCCGGUACUCAAUAUCGGAGCUGCACUUGAAACUACAAGUCUUGAGGGUAGGCGGAGAAAACGGAAUUCCACAUGUAGCGGUGAAAUGCGUAGAUAUGUGGAGGAACACCCGUGGCGAAGGCGGUUUUCUAGCUUAUUUCUGACGCUGAGGCGCGAAAGCAGGGGGAGCAAACAGGAUUAGAUACCCUGGUAGUCCCUGCCGUAAACGAUGUGUACUUGAUGUAGUUAGGCUCAACCCUGACUGUGUCGAAGCUAACGCGAUAAGUACACCACCUGGGGAGUACGCCCGCAAGGGUGAAACUCAAAAGAAUUGACGGGGGCCCGCACAAGCAGUGGAGCAUGUGGUUUAAUUCGAUGCAACGCGAAGAACCUUACCCAGGCUUGACAUGUAGUGGACCGCGCUAGAGAUAGCGUUUUUCGCAAGAACUGCUACACAGGUGCUGCAUGGCU